GACGAACGCUGGCGGCGUGCUUAACACAUGCAAGUCGAACGGAAAGGCCCUGCUUUUGUGGGGUGCUCGAGUGGCGAACGGGUGAGUAACACGUGAGUAACCUGCCCUUGACUUUGGGAUAACUUCAGGAAACUGGGGCUAAUACCGGAUAGGAGCUCCUGCUGCAUGGUGGGGGUUGGAAAGUUUCGGCGGUUGGGGAUGGACUCGCGGCUUAUCAGCUUGUUGGUGGGGUAGUGGCUUACCAAGGCUUUGACGGGUAGCCGGCCUGAGAGGGUGACCGGCCACAUUGGGACUGAGAUACGGCAGACUCCUACGGGAGGCAGCAGUGGGGAAUAUUGCACAAUGGGCGGAAGCCUGAUGCAGCAACGCCGCGUGCGGGAUGACGGCCUUCGGGUUGUAAACCGCUUUCGCCUGUGACGAAGCGUGAGUGACGGUAAUGGGUAAAGAAGCACCGGCUAACUACGUG
rnacentral:rRNA from 1 species